rnacentral:rRNA from 1 species
UCAGACGAUGCGUCAUGCAUAUCAAUAAGCGGAGGAAAAGAAACUAACAAGGAUUCCCCUAGUAACGGCGAGUGAAGCGGGAAGAGCUCAAAUUUGAAAUCUUAAAGGGUUUCCCUUUACGAAUUGUAGUUUAAAGAAGUGUUUUCUGUUGAGGUUUUGGUAAAAGUUCUUUGGAAUAGGACAUCAUAGAGGGUGAGAAUCCCGUAUUUGACCUUUACUUUCAACUUUGUGAUAUACUUUCAAAGAGUCGGAUUGUUUGGGAAUGCAGUCCAAAAUGGGUGGUAAAUUUCAUCUAAAGCUAAAUAUUGGCGAGAGACCGAUAGCGAACAAGUACCGUGAGGGAAAGAUGAAAAGAACUUUGAAAAGAGAGUUAAACAGUACGUGAAAUUGUCAAAAGGGAAGCGUUUGACACCAGUGUUGUUUUUCUGAAAAUCAAUUAAAGAACUGUUUAUGCUAAGUUGUUUAGACUUUAUCAGCUAUCUGUUUAGUUUUGAGCUUUUCUUUAAUGCACUUUUCAGUUAACAAGUCAACAUCAAUUUCCUUUGCUGUAAAAAAGCUUGAGGAAGGUGGCUUGAGAUUCGUCUUAAGUGUUUAUAGCCUCUUGCCUAUGCAGUCGGAGAGAUUGAGGUCUGCAGCGUAGAUCCUUCGGGGCUAAAUGCAUUUGUGCUAAGUUAUAGCAUUUUAUAGACAACUUGUUGACUAUGAUUUGUCUUGUAGCUUACUCGCUUAUGUUAUUUUACCUACGCUUAGGAUGUUGAGCGCAUGUCUCUCUCU